rnacentral:rRNA from 1 species
UACGUAGGGUGCAAGCGUUGUCCGGAAUUAUUGGGCGUAAAGAGCUCGUAGGCGGUCUGUCGCGUCGGCUGUGAAAACCCAGGGCUCAACCCUGGGCCUGCAGUCGAUACGGGCAGACUAGAGUCCGGCAGGGGAGACUGGAAUUCCUGGUGUAGCGGUGAAAUGCGAAGAUAUCAGGAGGAACACCGGUGGCGAAGGCGGGUCUCUGGUCUGUAACUGACGCUGAGGCGCGAAAGCGUGGGGAGCAAACAGG